rfam:Proteobacteria bacterium SG_bin4 119, whole genome shotgun sequence.
GGCUUAUUUUGCCCAGGCGGAGCUCGACCGCCGGUCGAAAUGAUGAUGGUAUUUGUCGAUAGAAACAAAGCGGAAUACGGGAUCGAGCAAUCUGUAGACAAAUACAGAUUGCCCCG